CCUACGGGCGGCAGCAGUGAGGAAUAGUGGUCAAUGGGCGCGAGCCUGAACCAGGCAAGUCGCGUGAGGGAAGACGGUCCUAUGGAGUGUAAACCUCUUUUGUCGGGGAGCAAAAGACGCCACGCGUGGCGUUCCGAGAGUACCCGAAGAAAAAGCAUCGGCUAACGCCGUGCCAGCAGCCGCGGUAAUACGGAGGAUGCGAGCGUUAUCCGGAUUGAUUGGGUUUAAAGGGUGCGCAGGCGGAAGAUCAAGUCAGCGGUAAAAUUGAGAGGCUCAACCUCGUCGAGCCGUUGAAACUGGUUUUCUUGUGUGCGUGCGAUGUAUGCGGAAUGCGUGGUGUAGCGGU
rnacentral:rRNA from 1 species